rnacentral:rRNA from 1 species
CAGUAGCCGCGGGAAUACGGAUGGUGCAAGCGUUAUCCGGAUUUAUUGGGUUUAAAGGGUCCGUAGGCGGACUUAUAAGUCAGUGGUGAAAGCCUGUCGCUUAACGAUAGAACUGCCAUUGAUACUGUAAGUCUUGAGUAUAUUUGAGGUAGCUGGAAUAAGUAGUGUAGCGGUGAAAUGCAUAGAUAUUACUUAGAACACCAAUUGCGAAGGCAGGUUACCAAGAUAUAACUGACGCUGAGGUACGAAAGCGUGGGUAGCGAACAGGAUUAGAUACCCCCGUAGUCCCUGUCUCUUAUAC